AUGACAAGUAUUUUCGGACGGAGGGAGUAUGUAUGUUCCACCAAGUCCAACAUUUGCAGGCAACAACAAAUAACACAAUACUCCAGAGUAUAUCUUAAUGCAGCUGGUGUAGGGGUUAUUGAUAGGAUUAUCAGCUACUCCAGUGUUGUCAUGUUUCUUGCUUCUUACAUAUUUCUCCUUUUGAUUGUUUUUAUGUUUGAUCAAAAAGUUUCAUACCGAAUAUUAAGAAAUUUGUUUACAUCUACGGUUGUGAUUGCAUCUGCUUGCAGAACGGUCAAUUUUACAUUAUCUAUAGAAGGCUGUGUACAUGAGAGGCGUGGCAUGCUAUUGGAAAUUAUAGCAUACUGUAUAUGGCUUCUAAGCAAUUUGAAAGUUUAG
rnacentral:rRNA from 1 species